rnacentral:rRNA from 1 species
AGUGAACGCUGGCGGUAGGCCUAACACAUGCAAGUCGAACGGCAGCACAGUAAGAGCUUGCUCUUACGGGAGGCGAGUGGCGGACGGGUGAGGAAUACAUCGGAAUCUACUUUUUCGUGGGGGAUAACGUAGGGAAACUUACGCUAAUACCGCAUACGACCUACGGGUGAAAGCAGGGGAUCUUCGGACCUUGCGCGAUUGAAUGAGCCGAUGUGGGAUUAGCUAGUUGGCGGGGUAAAGGCCCACCAAGGCGACGAUCCGUAGCUGGUCUGAGAGGAUGAUCAGCCACACUGGAACUGAGACACGGUCCCGACUCCUACGGGAGGGAACAGUGGGGAAUAUUGGACAAUGGGCGGAAGCCUGAUCCAGCCAUACCGCGUGGGUGAAGAAGGCCUUCGGGUUGUAAAGCCCUUUUGUUGGGAAAGAAAAGCAGCAGGUUAAUACCCCGCUGUUAUGACGGUACCCAAAGAAUAAGCACCGGCUAACUUCGUG